GGUUGAUCCUGCCAGUAGUCAUAUGCUUGUCUCAAAGACUAAGCCAUGCAUGUCUAAGUAUAAAUAGUUUUUAUACUGUGAAACUGCGAAUGGCUCAUUAAAUCAGUUAUAAUUUACUUGAUUAUAUUAAAUUACUUGGAUAACCGUAGUAAUUCUAGAGCUAAUACAUGCAAAAAUAUCUGACUUUUUGGAAAGAUAGUAUUUAUUAGAUACAAAAAUCAAUUUAAUUUAUUGAUGAUUCAUAAUAACUUAACAAAGCGAUUGAUUUAUUUUCAAUUGCUGAUACAAACAA
rnacentral:rRNA from 1 species